UACGUAGGGCGCAAGCGUUGUCCGGAAUUAUUGGGCGUAAAGAGCUCGUAGGCGGCUUGUCACGUCGGGUGUGAAAGCCCGGGGCUUAACCCCCGGGUCUGCAUUCGAUACGGGCUAGCUAGAGUGUGGUAGGGGGAGAUCGGAAUUCCUGGUGUAGCGGUGAAAAUGCGCAGAUAUCAGGAGGAACACCGGUGGCGAAGGCGGAUCUCUGGGCCAUUACUGACGCUGAGGAGCGAAAGCGUGGGGAGCGAACAGG
rnacentral:rRNA from 1 species